UGGGCUACACACGUGCUACAAUGGACGAUACAAACGGUUGCCAACUCGCGAGAGGGAGCUAAUCCGAUAAAGUCGUUCUCAGUUCGGAUUGUAGGCUGCAACUCGCCUACAUGAAGCCGGAAUCGCUAGUAAUCGCGGAUCAGCAUGCCGCGGUGAAUACGUUCCCGGGCCUUGUACACACCGCCCGUCACACCACGAGAGUUUGUAACACCCGAAGUCGGUGGGGUAACCUUUUGGAGCCAGCCGCCGAAGGUGGGAUAGAUGAUUGGGGUGAAGUCGUAACAAGGUAGCCGUAUCGGAAGGUGCGGUUGGAUCACCUC
rnacentral:rRNA from 1 species